AAAUACAUACCAGGCUCGCACAGAAGACACAGAGGAUUUACAGAGGGAGGAAGGAGAGAGCAGGAGAGCAUCCUCAGAAUGUGAAACCGAGGCCCAAAGAACAGUCAUUCACCCAAGGAGGAGAAGAAGGCUGUGUGCCCCAGGCCUUUCCCAAGUACGAUUGCAUGUGAUCCACACAACCACAGUGAAAGGGCUCAGCGUGGUGAUGAGGAAGCACGGGGACUUUGGAGAAGUCGGUUAAUGUCCUGGAUCCUGAGUUUACUCACCUAUAAUAUCGAGAUCGGCCGUUCAUCCUACGACUGAGCAUCAGGUGCCAUGCACUGGAUACACACAGCAGUGAGCAAAAUAGACUGGAGAUGGUACCGACC